UACCAGGCUCAAGGUUAAUCACUCAUUUCCGCUUUCAAUCUGUCUCAAUUACUGUUGUGGGAUGCUUCAAUUAGUCAUUCUCUCUCUCUAGGGGCACAGAGAGAUUACAGAUAACUCAUCCCACAUGGACUUCACAAUUUGAAUCCCUCUACCCUGCCAAAGAAAAAUCAUUGCUGGAAACCAGGAAGAUUAGCUAUCAUCCACUCUGCGCUCUGUCAAUGCUGCUCUUUCAUCAGACAAAGAGAAGCCAUCAGUCUUUGGAGUAUGAAAGCAUCCUGUUCUCAGUGACUGCCUCAGAUUAUGCUUACAACUACACAUCCAGAAGGCAGCAGGAAGCUACUAGACAAGAUGAGAUGACAGACAAAGAAGUAAAAAAAGCAGAUCACCACUGGACGACACCUAGACAUCUCGAAAGUGACAAGCACCAUGAAUCCAGAAAAAGCAGAGCCUUGCAGACCACCCUAUGAUGAGAUCACCUCCCUCUAAGCAAGAACAAUUGUCUCAUAGGAACCAAACUGCCUUCAAGCCUAAAAGAUUCCUCCAGAGCUUCAAAAUUAGCACCGAGGUAAUGAUGGGUCUGACACUGGCCCAUCUCAGCUAAAGUAUAGGCUUUUGUGGUGGGCCCCUCUGAAGCCCUGUAUCAGAGUGAGCGCCUCCAGCUACUCCUUUUCUUAUGCCCCU
rnacentral:lncRNA from 1 species